rnacentral:rRNA from 1 species
GACGAACGCUGGCGGCGUGCUUAACACAUGCAAGUCGAACGAAGUGGCGAACGGGUGAGUAACGCGUAAUCAACCUGCCCUUCAGAGGGGGACAACAGUUGGAAACGACUGCUAAUACCGCAUACUGAAGGUGGGGAUUGAGUCUGAUUAGCUAGUUGGUGAGGGAACUGCUCACCAAGCCUUCGAUGGUUAGGGGGUCUGAUAAGAAGGUCCCCCACAUUGGAACUGAGACACAGUCCAAAAUCCUACGGGAGGCAGCGGUGAGGAAUAUUAGGGAAUGGGCGGUAGCCUGAACCAGCCAAGUAGAGUAAAGGAUGAAGGUCUAUGGGUCGUAAACUUCUUGUAUAUAAGAAUAUUUAUUAUAUGAAUAAGGAUCGGCUAAAUACGUGCCAGCAGCCGCGGUAAUUC